GGAGUUGGUGUUUCUGCUAAUUAUGAAGAAUAUGAUUGAGUCCUGUUAUGAAUCGAGAACUAGGGUUUCCUCGGUGAAUCCGUAAUGGAGUUAGAAAUUGAGAAAUUAAAGUGGGUUUGGUGAACACAGUAUGAUGAGGAAGAAUUAGUGAUUGAUGUGUGAGUUUUAAUGAAGAUUAGAGAAGCUAGGGUUUCUGUUCUUUCCCAAUAUAGAUAUUAGGGUUCUUGGAUGUAAUUGAAUCAAGUGACUGAAACUGAAAUUGAGGUUUUAGGGGAAAGAUUAGAGAUGGGAAUGUUUGAUUUGAAAAUUUUGAGGCCGUGGUGGUGGUAGAGGCAGAGGAGGCAGCAAAGAAGGAGGUCGUGGUGGUGGUGGAAUGAAAGGUGGUAGUAAAGUGAUUGAGUACAGAGUCUAGAAUCCUUUUAGAUCAAAGCUUGCUGCAGCUGUACUUGGUGGUGUUGACAAUUUUUGGAUUGAAGAUGUUGGAACUUAUGUCCAAGCUGGGAUUUGCGGCUUACCGCUUUUCUGUUUCAUGGUCUCGUAUUUUCCCUGAUGGUUUGGGAACAAAGGUCAAUGAGGAAGGAGUUGCCUACUACAACAAUCUCAUUAAUGCUCUGCUUG